GGGUGGAUUAGUGGCGAACGGGUGAGUAACACGUGAGUAACCUGCCCUGGACUCUGGGAUAACCCCGAGAAAUCGGAGCUAAUACCGGAUAGGACCUUUCCCCGCAUGGGGUUUGGUGGAAAGUUUUUCGGUUUGGGAUGGACUCGCGGCCUAUCAGCUUGUUGGUGAGGUAAUGGCUCACCAAGGCGUCGACGGGUAGCCGGCCUGAGAGGGUGACCGGCCACACUGGGACUGAGACACGGCCCAGACUCCUACGGGAGGCAGCAGUGGGGAAUAUUGCACAAUGGGCGCAAGCCUGAUGCAGCAACGCCGCGUGCGGGAUGACGGCCUUCGGGUUGUAAACCGCUUUUAGUAGGGAAGAAGGGCUUCGGCUUGACGGUACCUGCAGAAAAAGGACCGGCUAACUACGUGCCAGCAGCCGCGGUAAUACGUAGGGUCCGAGCGUUGUCCGGAAUUAUUGGGCGUAAAGAGCUCGUAGGCGGUUUGUCGCGUCUGCUGUGAAAACUAGAGGCUCAACCUCUAGCCUGCAGUGGGUACGGGCAGACUUGAGUGGUGUAGGGGAGACUGGAAUUCCUGGUGUAGCGGUGGAAUGCGCAGAUAUCAGGAGGAACACCGAUGGCGAAGGCAGGUCUCUGGGCACUUACUGACGCUGAGGAGCGAAAGCGUGGGGAGCGAACAGGAUUAGAUACCCUGGUAGUCC
rnacentral:rRNA from 1 species